CGAGUGUCUCGGGAAACCGUUGGGUUGGAAGGACUUUUAAAAAUGUAGGAGGAAAGCCAAAAGCUGAAGAUAGCCCGGUAUCACCGGUCUUCUUAGCUCUUCCUUGGCCAGAUUUUAGUUCGGAAGAAUUUGAGGUUAUUGAGGGCAACGGGGGGUGGCAGAAGUCAGACUCGGUGGAAAUCUAGGUUGGCUCCAGUUGAAACAGCUUUAACGGGGUCCCUGCGACUCACCUUCUGCACCAAUUACGAGAGCGAUGACGUCUGGGUGUUACGAGGUUCUGGAAGUGAGAGGGUAGAAAUGAGAAGACCCAGAGUUCCCAUCUUUCCUAUUUAGGGACAGGCCUUGGAUAUUCUGAAGCACCUUUACAUGGAGCACAAAGAUGACGAUGAUGAUGAUGAUGUGUCUUUUGCCAAAUGGAUGAGCAGCUUCUGGGGUCACAGCUGGAUAGAGGAGGAUGAGCGAGGAGUCCGGGACCGCCGUGGAUCACAAGACGCCAGUUACAGGAAAAGCUCCCUGCCCUGCCCAUUUCCUGUGCUUCCCAGAAUGAUGUCGUCUGCCAGCCAUCCUAGAAGGUAUUCUUAUGAGGACCAGGGAUUUCGAUGCCACACUCAAGCGCGGGAUCACAGAAAGUGCUCAGGGGAUGGGUCAUUCAAGGAGCCACUGGAAUCAAAAGGAAGAUCCCAUUCCAAAAUUCAGUCAUUUUCAGACUCCUUUGAACAGCAACUGUGCUUUAGAACCAAACGUUCCGUCUCUUUGGGACCUGAGAGCAGAAAGGAGAGAAAUGAGAGAGAACACCGGUUUCUGGAAGUGAGGUCUCACAAGAAAGUGGAGGAAAAAAGGAGCUCUAGGGAGGAAGAGCACGGAGGAGUGUACCUGCCCACCCUGUCUGAAAAAGCGCUCAAAUAACCCUUUGCUUCCACACCACGACUACCGAUGCUGCUGUGUUUUUUGAGCCCCAAUUUACCAGACCCAGGAACGGUACCUGUAAGAGGGUCUGCAGAUGCUGAGUGACUCAGGUGGGUGGUUGAUUCAGCUGCUCCCCAAGACAGCUUGCAUCAUACCCCACCUGCUUUUCAGAGUAUGAGCUGCUCUGUUGCCCUUUUAGGGAAAUAAAAAGAAUAAAAGGUA
rnacentral:lncRNA from 1 species